CCAGUAAACUGUCGACAGAAAUACACAUAUACUAUAUACCAAUUCUUCUAUCAUUCGUCAUCAGCACACAAGAUCGGUGUGUCAAGGUGUUAACAAAAUAAUCGGAAAAACCAUCAGGAGGUGCAUCUAGCUAGAUGGGUUAGAUUAACAUCUCGAGCUUCGUAUCUUUACCGGGACUUCAUUGAAAUAUUAGUCAUCAUGCCGCCGAAGAUUUGAAGAUGGUCGUUUGGAGGCUUGGAGAUGUGAAAGAUGCCAUGAUGAUUCCAACUUUAAAGUGAUUUGUGAACUAUUAGUUCUACUUCAGAACUUAUAUAGCUGUUGAACCAUCUACUAUUGUUUUUUGUUGAAAUUUACUCAAGUUAUGCUGCUGAAAUGUGCUUGUUUUGUUGUUGAAGUGUUAUUCUUUGUCGCCACUAUGUUUGUUUAAAUAUUUUGAUUUUAUCGUGGGUUCCCCGUGGGUUCCCCGAAACCCGAUGGGUUUAGGGGACGGGCAGAAAACUAGCCCCGCACACGGUGAUGGGGACGGGGACGGGUUUACGAUUUUCUCGUGGGGAUGGGUUUGGGAAGGCAAAACCCGAUGGGUUUCAUCCCCAUUGCCAUCUUGAGUCUAGCCUGAUAAUAAUAUAUAUACAUGAACACCCCAUGUAACGCUGACCAUAGUCGGUUUGGGAUACGUAAGCCUAGUCAGUUUGGGUUCAGAAAAUAGGAGAAGAGAUAUAUGAAAGGCUCGAUACGAGCAUUUGGCCAUAAAAGAGUUUCUUCCAUCGAUCGCCAAGUCACCAAAGUAAAUCGAGUUAUCGCUAGGUCAAGCCAGCUUCACAUAUGGUUGCUUCUGGUCUAGUUUUGCACGUAUGUGUGUCUUGCUCCUUGGUGAGUUGAU